ACCGAACCGACUAAUGUUGAAAAAUUAGCGGAUGACCUGUGGCUGGGGGUGAAAGGCCAAUCAAACCGGGAGAUAGCUGGUUCUCCCCGAAAGCUAUUUAGGUAGCGCCUCGUGAAUUCAUCUCCGGGGGUAGAGCACUGUUUCGGCUAGGGGGCCAUCCCGGCUUACCAACCCGAUGCAAACUGCGAAUACCGGAGAAUGUUAUCACGGGAGACACACGGCGGGUGCUAACGUCCGUCGUGAAGAGGGAAACAACCCAGACCGCCAGCUAAGGUCCCAAAGUCAUGGUUAAGUGGGAAACGAUGUGGGAAGGCCCAGACAGCCAGGAUGUUGGCUUAGAAGCAGCCAUCAUUUAAAGAAAGCGUAAUAGCUCACUGGUCGAGUCGGCCUGCGCGGAAGAUGUAACGGGGCUAAACCAUGCACCGAAGCUGCGGCAGCGACGCUUAUGCGUUGUUGGGUAGGGGAGCGUUCUGUAAGCCUG
rnacentral:rRNA from 1 species